UUAAAUUGAAGAGUUUGAUCAUGGCUCAGAUUGAACGCUGGCGGCAGGCCUAACACAUGCAAGUCGAGCGGCAGCGGGAAAGUAGCUUGCUACUUUUGCCGGCGAGCGGCGG
rnacentral:rRNA from 1 species